rnacentral:rRNA from 1 species
AUUGAACGCUGGCGGCAGGCCUAACACAUGCAAGUCGAACGAGUGGCGGAAGGGUGAGUAAUGUAUGAGAAAAUGCCUGAUGGAGGGGGAUAAGUAGUGGAAAAGGUAGCUAAUACUGCAUAAAAUCAGAUGGGCCCAGACGGGAUUAGCUAGUUGGGGGGGUAACGGCUCACCAAGGAGACGAUCCCUAGCUGGUCCGAGAGGAUGACCAGCCACACUGGAACUGAGACACGGUCCAGAUUCCUACGGGAGGCAGCAGUGGGGAAUAUUGCACAAUGGGCGCAAGCCUGAUGCAGCCAUGCCGCGGGUAUGAAGAAGGCCUUCGGGUUGUAAAGUACUUUCAGUGGGGAGGCGUUACCCGCAGAAGAAGCACCGGCUAACUCCGUGCCAGCCGCCGCGGUAAUAC